rnacentral:rRNA from 1 species
GGGCCCGCACAAGCGGUGGAGCAUGUGGUUUAAUUCGAUGCAACGCGAAGAACCUUACCAGGCCUUGACAUCCUGGUCGCGGUUUGAGGAGACUCUUACCUUCAGUUCGGCUGGACCAGUGACAGGUGCUGCAUGGCUGUCGUCAGCUCGUGUCGUGAGAUGUUGGGUUAAGUCCCGCAACGAGCGCAACCCUCGUCCUAUGUUGCCAGCACGUAAUGGUGGGAACUCAUGGGAUACUGCCGGGGUCAACUCGGAGGAAGGUGGGGAUGACGUCAAAUCAUCAUGCCCCUUAUGUCUUGGGCUUCACGCAUGCUACAAUGGCCGGUACAGAGGGCUGCAAUACCGCAAGGUGGAGCGAAUCCCAAAAAGCCGGUCUCAGUUCGGAUUGAGGUCUGCAACUCGACCUCAUG